rnacentral:rRNA from 1 species
CCCUUAGAUGUCCUGGGCCGCACGCGUGCUACACUGAUGCAUACAGCGAGCACUUCCCGGCCCCGAAAGGCGGCUGGUAAUCAGCAAUAUGCAUCGUGAUGGGGAUAGUUCUUUGGAAUUCUUGAACUUGAACGAGGAAUGCCUAGUAGGCGCAAGUCAUUACCUUGCGUCGAUUAAGUCCCUGCCCUUUGUACACACCGCCCGUCGCUCCUACCGAUUCGAGUGAUCCGGUGAGGCUUUGGGAUCUGAGCGGAAAGAGCGUUUCGCUGCUUCUGCUCGGAAAACUCAGUCGAACCUUAUCAUUUAGAGGAAGGAGAAGUCGUAACA